rnacentral:lncRNA from 1 species
CCCGGGGAGGCUGCAGCAGGUCAGCGAGUGAGUGGAGGGGAAGUCAAGAUGCUAACUGCUUCUUGACACCAUGAAAGGCUGCUCUUAACUUUGUCUCUCUUUGACAUGUAGUCAGCUGAAGCUUGACUGUGUAGAGACAUUUUCCACACAGCCAGAACCCAGGGAUUGGAGUCUUAGGCAUCUCUGGUACAGUGGGGUGCACGUCUCAGGUGGAGGAAGAUUUACGGCUCAAGACAGGCCCCAGAUCCCCUCCCAGUGGCACCCAUGCCACCUGCUUUGAGGGGUUGGAUCUUCCUGCUACCCUCUUGGAUUCUAAGUGGUUCCAAGCUUAACUUGAGACCUUCCCUUCAAAUCUAAAAUUGGCAAAAAGUCACUUAAAAUAGUGGACUUCUGUAAUAAAGGUUGCCUAAAAUAACACCCACG